GAGUUUGAUCAUGGCUCAGAUUGAACGCUGGCGGCAGGCCUAACACAUGCAAGUCGAGCGGAUGACGGGAGCUUGCUCCUUGAUUCAGCGGCGGACGGGUGAGUAAUGCCUAGGAAUCUGCCUGGUAGUGGGGGACAACGUUUCGAAAGGAACGCUAAUACCGCAUACGUCCUACGGGAGAAAGCAGGGGACCUUCGGGCCUUGCGCUAUCAGAUGAGCCUAGGUCGGAUUAGCUAGUUGGUGGGGUAAUGGCUCACUAAGGCGACGAUCCGUAACUGGUCUGAGAGGAUGAUCAGUCACACUGGAACUGAGACACGGUCCAGACUCCUACGGGAGGCAGCAGUGGGGAAUAUUGGACAAUGGGCGAAAGCCUGAUCCAGCCAUGCCGCGUGUGUGAAGAAGGUCUUCGGAUUGUAAAGCACUUUAAGUUGGGAGGAAGGGCAGUAAGUUAAUACCUUGCUGUUUGACGUUACCGACAGAAUAAGCACCGGCUAACUCUGUGCCAGCCGCC
rnacentral:rRNA from 1 species